rnacentral:tRNA from 1 species
AUUGAAAUCAUUCAACACAACACGGAUUUCGAUUCCGAGGGUCGGGCGUUCGAAUCGCUCCGAGUGCACCA